AUUGAACGCUGGCGGCAUGCUUUACACAUGCAAGUCGAACGGUAACAGGGUGCUUGCACCGCUGACGAGUGGCGAACGGGUGAGUAAUGCGUCGGAACGUGCCGAGUAGUGGGGGAUAACGCAGCGAAAGUUGUGCUAAUACCGCAUACGUACUGAGGUAGAAAGUGGGGGACCUUCGGGCCUCAAGCUAUUCGAGCGGCCGACGUCGGAUUAGCUAGUAGGUGAGGUAAAGGCUCACCUAGGCGACGAUCAGUAGCGGGUCUGAGAGGAGGAUCUGCCACACUGGGACCGAGACACGGCCCAGAAAACUGCGGGAGGCAGCAGUGGGGAGUUUUGGACAGUGGGCGAAAGCCUGAUCCAGCCAUGCCGCGUGUCUGAAGAAGGCCUUCGGGUUGUAAAGGACUUUUGUCAGGGAGGAAAUCCCUAGUGCUAAUAACACUGGGGGAUGACAGUACCUGAAGAAUAAGCACCGGCUAACUACGUGCCAGCCGCCGCCGCAG
rnacentral:rRNA from 1 species